rnacentral:lncRNA from 1 species
GAUGAUGCAUACACAGUUGUGGCAUACAUGAAUGCUUGGAGUGGUGAGUUUUAUCCAUUACUACAUGAAGACUAUUAGGGAUGCACAUAUAUGUUCACAUGUAUUCUGGAUCAUCAUCGUUUGAGACCUAAGUAGAAAGGUAGGCUAAAGUCAAUAAGGCUUCGAAAUAAGAGGAUGAUAGGCAAACAAGAAGCAAGAAUCAUUGUGGCAUUUGUAAGGAACAUGGUCAUGAUCGUCAUCGUUGUCUUAGAUUACUUCAACACACAUCAACUUCAAGCAGUGGAAAAAUUAAAGGCAGCAGAGUGUACUACUCUAUGUAUUUUCAGAGUUAUGUAUUGUUCUAUGUAUUUUCCAGAGUUGAACUAUUAUGUAGUCUAUGUCCAGAAUUGUAUAUUGUUCUAUAUAUUUUCGGAGUUAAACUGUUGUAUAGUAUAUAUCCAGAGAUAAAUACUUAUUCUAUGUAUAUUCAGAGUUGUGUAUUAUUCUAUAUAUUGCAUGUCAUUGAUUGUGGAGCUAAUAUUUUUUUUUUGUUUUGCUUUUUGAGAAUUUCCUAACAUCUUUGUAUGCCAUAUUCUUUUGAAUGUAUUUUGCAGGUUAUUUGAGCCAUCAUGUCUCAUUGUAUUUUGAAUCCAAGGCCCCGAGAUCCUAGCGUUCUGACUUUACAAGUAUUGCAUAGAUCAAAGCACAUAUACGAGGGGGAGGUGAUUAACUUUCCAUUGAAGUAAUUUUGGUUAAUUUGAUAUUAAUGAUGUUACAUUUUUCAUAUUAUUUUUGUUUGAUGUUGUUUCAGGAGAUGCAGCAAAUCAAAUGUCGACAGUCAGAUCGGUCUUUUUAGAUACGCAUCCC